GACGAACGCUGGCGGCGUGCUUAACACAUGCAAGUCGAACGAUGAAGCCCAGCUUGCUGGGUGGAUUAGUGGCGAACGGGUGAGUAACACGUGAGUAACCUGCCCUGGACUCUGGGAUAACCCCGAGAAAUCGGAGCUAAUACCGGAUAGGACCUUUCCUCGCAUGAGGUUUGGUGGAAAGUUUUUCGGUUUGGGAUGGACUCGCGGCCUAUCAGCUUGUUGGUGAGGUAAUGGCUCACCAAGGCGUCGACGGGUAGCCGGCCUGAGAGGGUGACCGGCCACACUGGGACUGAGACACGGCCCAGACUCCUACGGGAGGCAGCAGUGGGGAAUAUUGCACAAUGGGCGCAAGCCUGAUGCAGCAACGCCGCGUGCGGGAUGACGGCCUUCGGGUUGUAAACCGCUUUUAGUAGGGAAGAAGCCUUCGGGUGACGGUACCUGCAGAAAAAGGACCGGCUAACUACGUGCCAGCCGCCGCAGUAAAAC
rnacentral:rRNA from 1 species